GAACUGAAGAGUUUGAUCAUGGCUCAGAUUGAACGCUGGCGGCAGGCCUAACACAUGCAAGUCGAGCGGUAGAGAGGUGCUUGCACCUCUUGAGAGCGGCGGACGGGUGAGUAAUGCCUAGGAAUCUGCCUGGUAGUGGGGGAUAACGCUCGGAAACGGACGCUAAUACCGCAUACGUCCUACGGGAGAAAGCAGGGGACCUUCGGGCCUUGCGCUAUCAGAUGAGCCUAGGUCGGAUUAGCUAGUUGGUGGGGUAAUGGCUCACCAAGGCGACGAUCCGUAACUGGUCUGAGAGGAUGAUCAGUCACACUGGAACUGAGACACGGUCCAGACUCCUACGGGAGGCAGCAGUGGGGAAUAUUGGACAAUGGGCGAAAGCCUGAUCCAGCCAUGCCGCGUGUGUGAAGAAGGUCUUCGGAUUGUAAAGCACUUUAAGUUGGGAGGAAGGGCAUUAACCUAAUACGUUAGUGUUUUGACGUUACCGACAGAAUAAGCACCGGCUAACUCUGUGCCAGCAGCCGCGGUAAUACAGAGGGUGCAAGCGUUAAUCGGAAUUACUGGGCGUAAAGCGCGCGUAGGUGGUUCGUUAAGUUGGAUGUGAAAUCCCCGGGCUCAACCUGGGAACUGCAUUCAAAACUGUCGAGCUAGAGUAUGGUAGAGGGUGGUGGAAUUUCCUGUGUAGCGGUGAAAUGCGUAGAUAUAGGAAGGAACACCAGUGGCGAAGGCGACCACCUGGACUGAUACUGACACUGAGGUGCGAAAGCGUGGGGAGC
rnacentral:rRNA from 1 species